rnacentral:rRNA from 1 species
AUUGAACGCUGGCGGCAGGCUUAACACAUGCAAGUCGAACGGUAACAUAAAGAAGCUUGCUUCUUUGAUGACGAGUGGCAGACGGGUGAGUAAUGCUUGGGAAUCUAGCUUAUGGAGGGGGAUAACUACGGGAAACUGUAGCUAAUACCGCGUAGAAUCGAGAGAUGAAAGUGUGGGACCUUCGGGCCACAUGCCAUAGGAUGAGCCCAAGUGGGAUUAGGUAGUUGGUGAGGUAAAGGCUCACCAAGCCGACGAUCUCUAGCUGGUUGAGAGGAUGACCAGCCACACUGGGACCGAGACACGGCCCAGACUCCUACGGGAGGCAGCAGUGGGGAAUAUUGCGCAAUGGGGGCAACCCUGACGCAGCCAUGCCGCGUGGAUGAAGAAGGCCUUCGGGUUGUAAAGUUCUUUCGGUAGCGAGGAAGGCAUUUAGUUUAAUAGACUAGGUGAU